rnacentral:lncRNA from 1 species
UUUCAUUUGAUGGGCUAGGAAGUGCACAGUUCAGAGGUUUAGGUGGAACACGUCCCCCUUUUGAUGCUGUAUGUUGAGAGAAUCCAGAUUUUGUGGCAGGAUACCGUUGUUCAUCUUCUUCCGAUGAGGUAGACUCAUCAUUGCUGUCAUCAGUUACAUGUUGCUCAAUGUCAGUUUCACUUCUAGUAGCCAUUACAGCCACAUUUUGGUCAUUUCUCAUCUUUCUCAUUCCUUCAAUAUCAUUCUCUCUUUCAUUUUGUCUACAUUUUUCGUCUUUGGAUUCCCCUGAAGUUGUUACUUGAUUUGGUGUUGUAGCUUCACUGUCAACAACUUCAGAAAUGCUGUCAAUAUGGGAGAUGCUUUUUGCUUCUACUGCCAAAAGUGUUUCAACAAGCUCGUCAUGCUCUCCUUUGUUUGACAACAUUCUUUCAAUACGCCUAUCAUGAGGUCCC